UGUUGGUGCACUUCUAGUGUAUUUUGGUCUGAGCCAUGCGAGAAGGAGACUCAAUGUUCCUGUGUCUGAAACAGCUGCUGGUUUACAAGUACUGGAAAGUGGAAACCAACGCUUUGUCUCUGCCUUCAUGGAAAAUGAUGCCUGGAAAAGAGAAAGAGAGGAUUGGCAUCGCAGAGGCUGACAACCAACAUGGCAGAAGGGGUCCAGAAGCUUGGUGACGGGUGACUACUUCUUGGACUAGGUGAAGAACUACUGUAGCUGUCAAACCAUAGCUGCCGAGCUGUCACUCGUCAGUCGCUCUCAUCUCACCAGAGUGUUGUAUUUACCUUCACCUUAAUAAAACGUG